rnacentral:rRNA from 1 species
UACGUAGGGCGCAAGCGUUGUCCGGAAUUAUUGGGCGUAAAGAGCUCGUAGGCGGUCUGUUACGUCUGCUGUGAAAACCCAGGGCUUAACCCUGGGCUUGCAGUGGAUACGGGCAGACUAGAGGCAGGUAGGGGAGAAUGGAAUUCCCGGUGUAGCGGUGAAAUGCGCAGAUAUCGGGAGGAACACCGGUGGCGAAGGCGGUUCUCUGGGCCUGACCUGACGCUGAGGAGCGAAAGUGUGGGGAGCGAACAGG